AAAGCGUGCGCAGGCGGUUUUGUAAGACUGUCGUGAAAUCCCCGGGCUCAACCUGGGAACUGCAUUUGUGACUGCAUGGCUAGAGUACGGUAGAGGGGGAUGGAAUUCCGCGUGUAGCAGUGAAAUGCGUAGAUAUGCGGAGGAACACCGAUGGCGAAGGCAAUCCCCUGGACCUGUACUGACGCUCAUGCACGAAAGCGUGGGGAGCAAACAGGAUUAGAUACCCCAGU
rnacentral:rRNA from 1 species